AUCGUUCAUCUCUUAAUUAAAGAGACGGAAGUAGACUUAAGAUAAGUCGAAGGAACGCAU
rnacentral:ncRNA from 1 species